rnacentral:rRNA from 1 species
UACGUAGGGGGCAAGCGUUGUCCGGAAUCAUUGGGCGUAAAGCGCGUGUAGGCGGCUCGGUAAGUCUGCUGUGAAAGUCCAGGGCUCAACCCUGGGAUGCCGGUGGAUACUGUCGAGCUCGAGUCCGGAAGAGGCGAGUGGAAUUCCUGGUGUAGCGGUGAAAUGCGCAGAUAUCAGGAGGAACACCAAUGGCGAAGGCAGCUCGCUGGGACGUGACUGAUGCUGAGACGCGAAAGCGUGGGGAGCGAACAGG